rnacentral:lncRNA from 1 species
GGCAGCGCCCACUUCCAAUUUCAUCAGCAAGCAAUUGCAUUUUAGGUCUGGAAAUUCAACCAAGACCCAAGAAAGGCUCCAGGCGACUCAUGCGGCUACAAAUGAUUCAUGAAGCUAAGCCUCAAUGAAGAUUCAAGCUUCUGAUCUGGAAUGACAACACAAGAAGAUUUCAAAUUUCAACAUUGAAAAAUGAAAUUUGGUACACGAAUAAAAAUGUAUUGAAAUAUUGUUUGGGGAAUUUUCGGGAUUGCUUUUCAUAUCACGGUUCAACCAUGGUGUGUAGAAGGAUGUC